rnacentral:misc_RNA from 1 species
GAAUGAAGAACGUAGCAAAAUGCGAUAAGUAAUGUGAAUUGCAGAAUUCCGUGAAUCAUCGAAUCUUUGAACGCACAUUGCGCCCGCCAGCACUCUGGCGGGCAUGCCUGUUCGAGCGUCAUUUCAACCCUCGGACCCCCUGAGCCUCGCGCCCCGGGGGAACCGGUGUUGGGGCUCGGGCGCUCCCAGCGAGUCGCCCGUCCCCUAAAUCCAGUGGCGGUCGCGCCCUGGCACCCCCGCGUAGUAGCACACCUCGCGGGACGUGCCUGGCCCGGCCACGCCGUAAAACCCCCCAAUUCUCAAGGUUGACCUCGGAUCAGGUAGGAAUACCCGCUGAACUUAAGCAUAUCAAUAAGCGGAGGA